UACGUAGGAUGCAAGCGUUGUCCGGAAUUAUUGGGCGUAAAGGGUGCGCAGGCGGUUUUUCAAGUCAGAUGUGAAAUAUCCCGGCUUAACUGGGAGGGGCCAUUUGAAACUGAAAGACUAGAGUGCAGGAGAGGAUAGCGGAAUUCCCGGUGUAGUGGUGAAAUGCGUAGAUAGUCGGGAGGAACACCAGUGGCGAAGGCGGCUAUCUGGCCUGCAACUGACGCUGAGGCACGAAGGCUAGGGGAGCGAACAGG
rnacentral:rRNA from 1 species